AUGUGUAUGGAAAAUGCUUUUCGUUGGGACACCAACUCACGGCAGGAAAAGAUCAUCACUCAUCAAAAUGGCAGUAGAUAAUAGAAUCUACCAUUACCAGUCAAUACAAUAUAAAUUUAAUCAUAACUUAGAUUCAAACAUCAGCAGAUGAUAUAAGGGGACUGUUAAGACUGUUGGAGUUCACAGAGUACCGAAUUGGCAAUAGAGCCGGGUCUUGAUAGGCAGUAACCAAUUUAUCAAAAAAUUCAGCCAUUGCAGGGUCGUUUGCCUCUUCCUUGUCCUUUUUUAUUAAAACCUCAGCAGGGUAAGCAAUAAAAAUGGGUAGAAAGCGUUUUCGGCAGUACUCAUUGAAGAGCAGUGUGAGGACUGGAAGCGGAAAAACUAAAGUUGAUGCAAUAGAUAGCUUCUUUAGUGUAAAGAUUCCAAUUGAAAUUGCAUGCAUGAGUACCAAAGAGAAUAUCAUUGAAUUGUGCACAAUAG
rnacentral:misc_RNA from 1 species